UACGUAGGGUGCGAGCGUUAAUCGGAUUUACUGGGCGUAAAGGGCGCGCAGGCGGCCGCUCAAGUCAGGCGUGAAAGCCCCGGGCUUAACCUGGGAACUGCGUCUGGGACUGAGAGGCUAGAGUUCGGGAGAGGAGAGUGGAAUUCCCAGUGUAGAGGUGAAAUUCGUAGAUAUUGGGAAGAACACCGGUGGCGAAGGCGGCUCUCUGGACCGAGACUGACGCUGAGGCGCGAAAGCGUGGGGAGCAAACAGG
rnacentral:rRNA from 1 species